rnacentral:rRNA from 1 species
GAUGAACGCUAGCUACAGGCUUAACACAUGCAAGUCGAGGGGAAACGACAUCGAAAGCUUGCUUUUGAUGGGCGUCGACCGGCGCACGGGUGAGUAACGCGUAUCCAACCUGCCCAUCACUUGGGAAUAACCUUGCGAAAGUAAGACUAAUACCCAAUGAUAUCCCACGAAGGCAUCGGAAUGGGAUUAAAGAUUUAUCGGUGAUGGAUGGGGAUGCGUCUGAUUAGCUUGUUGGCGGGGUAACGGCCCACCAAGGCAACGAUCAGUAGGGGUUCUGAGAGGAAGGUCCCCCACAUUGGAACUGAGACACGGUCCAAACUCCUACGGGAGGCAACAGUGAGGAAUAUUGGUCAAUGGGCGAGAGCCUGAACCAGCCAAGUAGCGUGCAGGAAGACGGCCCUAUGGGUUGUAAACUGCUUUUAUAAGGGAAUAAAGUGGGUCACGUGUGACUUUUUGCAUGUACCUUAUGAAUAAGGACCGGCUAAUUCCGUG